rnacentral:rRNA from 1 species
CGACCGGCGCACGGGUGAGUAACGCGUAUCCAACCUGCCCACCACUUGGGAUAACCUUGCGAAAGUAAGACUAAUACCCAAUGAUAUCUCUAGAAGACAUCUGAAAGAGAUUAAAGAUUUAUCGGUGAUGGAUGGGGAUGCGUCUGAUUAGCUUGUUGGCGGGUAACGGCCCACCAAGGCAACGAUCAGUAGGGGUUCUGAGAGGAAGGUCCCCCACAUUGGAACUGAGACACGGUCCAA